rnacentral:lncRNA from 1 species
UCAAGUCAUCUAGCUACAAAUUGAAGCAGAAAUAGAUUUGACAAUACCAUCACAUAAAACUCAUAUUUCUUGUUAAGGAACAACGAAAUAACUUAAAAAGAGCUUCAAAAGAAAACUUACGCAUCAGACCAAGCAGGAGGAGUAAAGAACAUACAAUUGCAUAUCAAACAAUCUUAAAAAAAUACGAGCUUUGAAAUGGACUGGUGCAGCUUAAAAUUACCCUGAUAGAGCUCCCUCUUUCUACAAAAAGAAUCCAGGAAGAGUUUCUUAACCUUCAAAUUGCAUUAUAUCCUUCAAUCCUCGGGCAAACCGACACAGCAUAAGUUAAUUGGUAUUAUAUGAAAACUACAAUUUCUAUGGAAAUAUUACACCAGUUUAUCGUCCCAAAAGUUGUAUUACUUUAAACUUUCCAUUUUAUUUAUAGUGACUACUUCAAGAAGAAACUUGGUAGUGCCACAGUGAUUUCACACUAGAUUUAUAGCUUAUGAUGAAUCAACAGACUGCAGACAUGGUUUAUAGCCAGUCGCGCCUUGCUCCCACAUGGAAAAGAAAUGCAUGUUAGCUAGAAAACAAAAGCAUAUACUCUAGCUAUACAUUUGGAACUAGAAUAAUCGGACACCAGAAUUCAGAAGAACAUGCAGUAACUGAUGGAGUAUCCUUGUGCAAUUGAAUAACAUUUUUCAAUGAAAAAAAUUGGUGAAAUGCCAAAUAAAGAUAUGAAAGACCUGAGUUUUUAGCUUCUACAAUGAACCGUGCGCUCUAAAUUGGUCAGAUUAUUUGCAAACAUGCUUCCAAGAUGGUCCAACAUCUCCUUCGCUCGGCUAAAUCCAAAAUCAAGAAGCACAUCAAUGAAGCCAAAUCAGUGCACUCUCCUAUUCCAGUAUAAGAAAUAAUCUAAAAAUACAAUUUGCAUCAAUAGUAAGAUACAGACAGUCCAUUGAUAUCUACUACGAUGGAUAUUGUACCUGUACAACAUUCAAAGAAAUAGGGAACAACUGUCAGAGUAUAUUAAUUUUCUCUAAGCAAUUGCACUCAUUAAGCAAGAAAGUUAUACAUGUACAAAAGAUCAUGAAACUACUAUUUUGUGGAAGGACCAUUUAGUAUUUACUAAAACAAAAUCAUUGAGUCAAUCACGAGUACUUCAAAGUCAUGCAGCAUUUCUGAGAGAUUAUGAGCUUUCAACAGUCAUUCUUUAGAUAUACAUGUUAUAAUAUUAUCUGGUAUGACUAAGCAUUAAAACUGCUUAAAGACCAAAACAACGUUAAAGCUCAUAUUAAGCUUAGCAUUUUGAAUACUCCAAUAAUCUUUUUAAUUACAAUCAACUACAUAUUAGUCAAGAUUAAUUAAUUUGACUAUCAAUACAGAAAUUUGUGCAGAAGGUAACUCAAACAUGCUCAUAUUUAAUGCAUUGUAGAUUACACAAUAUUACUGUAUUAAAAAGAUAAAAAUGAUGUAGUUGAAAAUUAUUUUUUCUUCGGUAGUAAAGUAGUUACUUUCACCCUCCUUGCAUUUUCACACAGCACUGUUUCAUAUCAACCCACUAAAAUUAAAAAAUACAGAAAAAUCAUCUAGCUACAACCAAGAAACUAUAACACAACAGCUUGGCGCUCAACUUAAAAAGCACACAACUUGGACGAUAAAAAUUGAAAAAGACAGUGCAUGAUUGAAAUUUAUUAUCUAAUCUGUUGGGAAUUUUCAAAUUUUAAAGAGGAAAAAGAAUUAAUUUUUAAUUAUCCAAAAAUAGAAAAGUAAAUAUAUAUUCAUCAAAGUCAGAUAUGCUCGCAAGCACCUAUGUAUCUAUUACUACCAAACACGCAUGGGCAAAUCAUGACAUACAUGUGGAAAAUCAAGCACAAAAAUUAUUCAAAAGAACAAAGAAACUAAUAUUCACCGACAAAAUUCUGCAGAUAAAAGAAAGAUGGAGAGAAGACUCACCAGAACAGAAAGUAGACAUCAAAAAAUAAAUUCAGCUUAAAAUUGAAAACUUGAAAAGGAAACCGGAAGCAAAGGCCAGAAAGAAGAGCAAAGAACCCCAGGAGAAACCUUGAAAGGGACCAAGGACCGAUGGCCUGAAGGCUGAAAGAUGAGACACAUUAACGUUAGUACAAAGACUAUAGCAUUAGAAAACAAAAAUUGUACUCAAAAAAGGAAAUGAACACUUGUCAAUUGAAAAAGAGAUACCUGAGAAGCAGCAACUAUGAGAGUGACAAUCGCGAAGAAAUCCUAGAACUCGACUCCUGCCAUUUACAUAAACUCGACUUUGUAAAAACUCAACUAUCAGUUUUGAGAUUAGACUUCAAUAUUGCUAUUCCAAAGUGGUUACACAAUAAGAAUACAACAUCAGCAAACUGCGAUAGAAUCAAAUGUGAGAAAAAGACAAUGGUGUAAAUUAGUAGAAACAAAAAAAUGGUGGUCAAGUUGUGAACUCGUAUAAUCCUAGGAUAUAUUCACGAUAUAAUUAACACCAAGUUCCCUUCCAUCCCCAACUUGUUGUACUAAACAAUAAUUAUUCACUUUUCUUUACGCAGAGAAAUUAAUUAUAUACGGCAAUAAAAAAUUUAUUAGAAAAUAAUGAACUAACAAAAAUCACAUCAUCUAUACAUGACUUGGAAAAACUUCCACAUGCAUAUUAGAAGAGUAGAAGAGGAGGCUUUAAAAGGUAAAAGAUAAAAGGAAUAUCAUCCAAGCUCAUCGCAAACUAUAGAACACCGACGAAAUCAAGCCAACCCCAAAGACAUCGUGCAAACAAAAAGUGUAGAUACAUCACUAUUCAUCUAUAUUUCUAUAGUUAUUUUGAUUUGAAAGAGAGAGAAAAAAAAAUAAUUUGUGCAUAAAAUUAUAAUCAGUAAUUCUAAUUCAGUAUCUACAAUGUUAAUAUACUGAAUACUUUCCUCUCCAACUACGAACAAUUUCUGAAUGAUGUAGGACAUACCUUUGACAUUUUUUCAUAGUGCUGCUUUAUCACAAAUUCACAAUUUUGUAUAGGCAUCUUUAGAGUAUUGAAUGAUCAUCUAGGGUUUAGAAUUCUAAUAGGGUUUUUUCGAUUUGAAAUUUUCUGGACAAAUUGAUAGUUUUAUGCAAGGAGGGACAAAGAGGAGAUGGUGAAUAGGGAGGAUCAGAGAGAAAGAGAGCUGAACCAGAGAAGAUGGAGAGUUGCAUUACUA